CUACGGAGGGUGCAAGCGUUACUCGGAAUCACUGGGCGUAAAGAGCGUGUAGGCGGGUUAAUAAGUUGGAAGUGAAAUCCUAUGGCUCAACCAUAGAACUGCUUUCAAAACUGUUGACCUAGAAUAUGGGAGAGGUAGAUGGAAUUUCUGGUGUAGGGGUAAAAUCCGUAGAGAUCAGAAGGAAUACCGAUUGCGAAGGCGAUCUACUGGAACAUUAUUGACGCUGAGACGCGAAAGCGUGGGGAGCAAACAGGAUUAGAAACCCUAGUAGUCC
rnacentral:rRNA from 1 species